rnacentral:rRNA from 1 species
AUUGGACGCUGGCGGCAGGCUUAACACAUGCAAGUCGAGCGGAGAGAGGUAGCUUGCUACUGAUCUUAGCGGCGGACGGGUGAGUAAUGCUUAGGAAUCUGCCUAUUAGUGGGGGACAACAUUUCGAAAGGAAUGCUAAUACCGCACACGUCCUACGGGAGAAAGCAGGGGAUCUUCGGACCUUGCGCUAAUAGAUGAGCCUAAGUCGGAUUAGCUAGUUGGUGGGGUAAAGGCCUACCGAGGCGACGAUCUGUAGCGGGUCUGAGAGGAUGAUCCGCCACACUGGGACUGAGACACGGCCCAGACUCCUACGGGAGGCAGCAGUGGGGAAUAUUGGACAAUGGGCGGAAGCCUGAUCCAGCCAUGCCGCGUGUGUGAAGAAGGCCUUAUGGUUGUAAAGCACUUUAAGCGAGGAGGAGGCUACUUUAGUUAAUACCUAGAGAUAGUGGACGUUACUCGCAGAAUAAGCACCGGCUAACUCUGUGCCAGCCGCCGCGGUAACAC